AACGGUAGGUCAGUAUGCUCCGAAUGCCAUGGGCUACACGCGCAAUACAAAGGACGGGACAAUGGGCUGCUGCUCCGAGAGGAAUGAUGGCUAUCCCGAAACCCGUUCGUAGUUCGGAUUGAGGGCUGUAAUUCGCCCUCAUGAAGCUGGAUUAGGUAGUAAUCGCGUCUCAAUAGGGCGCGGUGAAUAUGCCCCUGCUCCUUGCACACACCGCCCGUCAAACCAUCUUAGUUGGGGGUGGGUGAGGCUGCGCUUUAUGGGGUAUUCGAGCCUGCCUUCGACAAGGAGGGUUAAGUCGUAACAAGGUAUCUGUAGGGGAACCUGCAGAUGGAUCACCUCCUAAGAAA
rnacentral:rRNA from 2 species